rnacentral:lncRNA from 1 species
UGGAUUCUAGUCCUCCAAUAGUUCUUUAUUUCAUUAUCUGUCCUCCCAGGCAGAUGCUUUGCUAUUUUUGACCACCUAAAUGUACAUAUAUAAUGCAAUUUAUUGAAUUAAAAAAAUAUAGAAUGUCAAAUAAUUUUGUUCUUGUCUUAGUUCAUUUUUUUUAUAAAUAAUGUGAUGUUGCAAAAUGCAAACACCAAAUUUAGUUCAAAUAAAUCAUAUAAACACUUCUUUUAUAUAUUCUAUGAUAAAAAAAAUCAAGAAGUAAGAGAUAUAUUAUAACAUAAAUUCUAAGGUUUUUCCAACAAAUUGCUCUCUUUUUCCAACAAUUUCUUCAAUAAAAUAAUAACAAUGUAAAAUUUAAAAUAAUGAUCCAACAAAUAUGAAAUUAGAAUCUAUUUCCGGAAUUGCGAUCUCACUUAUUAAUAAUAAAAUAAAGGGAAACCUAACAUGUAUUUGACAAUCCAAAAUAAUAAGGUUUAUGUCAACUUCAACCAAGUUAAAAUAUUUCCUUAAAGAAGUCCUUAACAUGUGUCCAAUUGGGAAGUGUUCAGCUUAAAAUGGUAACCUUUUAAAUUUCCAAUCUGUUUAGUUAGCUGUACCACUUUGAUAGUUAUUUGUCACACAGAUGAUUGCCUAUACAUAUUGGUAUGACACAAAUUUCUUUUCGUUUAAAAAAAGUCACAAAUUUCUUUAUUAUAUAUAUAUUUAAUAUAUAAUACCUUUUUAUAAUAAGUGAAAAUAAAAAUCUAUGGAAAGUAGGUCCAAUAUAUAAAAUUUAAAGGGGAAAACGAACAAGAAAAUCCACCAUUUAAAGCAAAAUUCUUGUGGUACAAUUUUAAACAUAGAUGGCAGCCAGACCUCACAAAUAUAUAAUUAAAAUUCAAGAGAAAAAAAAUAAAAAAAAUCAAGAAUUUUUGGUAGCCAUGAAAAAUGCAAUUACAGAGGUAAAUUUUAUGAAGAAAUUAUGGCAUCCACAAAAAAUAAGAGCCAUGUGUUAUAAACCUUUUUGGUGGUUGAAAAUAAAUUAAACCCCACGUUGCCAAAUCCUCAAGAUAUAGGCAAAAAAAAAGUUGGCAAUUUUUUGAUGUACAAAUGCUUAGGCUCUAGAGAAGUGCACUUCUCUUUUUUUCUUUUCUCAUAAUCAAAAUUCAGAAUGAAGUGUACUUCAAGUGAUAACACACAAGAAUGAAGAAGUGAAGAAGAUCAAAGGGUAAGAGGGUUUUAUAUUUAUUUGUUUCUAUAUGAAUAUUGCAUGUAUUGUUUUAUAUAUAUAUAUAUAUAUAUAUGGAGGACAAUAGAUUAUCAUAACAUGAGCUAACCUAUUCCCCCACUUAGCAUGCAGUUCCAUGAUCAAGAGUUGUUCUUCGGGAGUGAUAUUGCCUCGACGAACGUCCGGACGAAGAUAAUUCAGCCAACGGAGCCGGCAACUUUUUCCGGUACGUUUCAACCCUAACAACACAAUUUUUUUAUCAUUACAUUUGGGUUACUAUCAAAAAUUGAAUUAGCACUAUAUGUAUGCAUGUGUGUGUUGCAAUGAAUUAGCUUCUUGUAUGAUUCAUGAAAGUUUUUUGAAAUUAAGCUUAAUUUAAUUUAAAAGAAAUUACCAGCAGCUUUAGCAAGAUUAUUCCAAACACCUUCACCAUUAGUAGCAAUAUAGUUGAUGAGAAUCAAAUCUUCUUCCAUUGUCCAUGGCCCUUUUCUCACUUCAACAUCUUGGGAUUUGCAUGGUUUUUUAUCCAUUUUUUUGAAAAAUUAAAGAGAGAGAGAGAGAGAAAGAGGAAUUAGUAAGAUAGCUAGAAUGUAUAUUGAUUUAUAUUUAAGAGAAUUAAAAAAAGGAAAAGAAAAAAGAAAAGAGAGAGAUGAAGAAGAAAGAGGGAGAGAAUGUGAUGGAAAAGAAGGUAGAUGGGGUUUAUAUAGAGCAAAAUUAAGAAGAUUUUUAGUAGUAAUCUUUGUUGCUAAUACCAUUAGAGAAGAGAUUUUUGACCUAACUAUUGUGUUAAUUGUACCACAUGCAUGCGAGGCCUCAUAUUAUAAAUUUAAUUUUUAGUGUUAACAUAUUAAAGAAAUUAUCAUACUUUUUAGGGUUAAUAACUUCGAAGUUAUUAAAGAUAAUACAUACUCUUAAGGUCUAGUAAAAUUAUAUAAUUAAAAAGUUAAUAUGAAGUAAUUUCGUAACUCGUGAUUUGUAAAAUUAUUAUUUUUACCUCUAAUAUGUAAAAAACGAACUCUAUUACUAGUUUCUUGUGCAUGUGGCAUUUUAUUAAUAUACCUAGACUUUUUACUAUAUUUUAUAAAUAAUUAUUAUAUUUACAUAUUAAGUUGAGAUUUAAAAUUUUUUUAAAAGUCACUUUCUUAUUUCAAAUUAAGUUUAGAGGGACUUAUAAUGCAAAAAGGAAAAAAAUGAAAAUAGCAAAAGAUUGUAAAAUAUACAAUAUAGGGUUCUUGACCCCUUUUUCUUUGUUUUUUUUCUUCUUUUUCGCCAUAUAUUAUUGAACAUUCAACAGUGAAAGAUAAGCAAUUAAAUUUUAAAUUUUCAUAAGAAAUAAUGGGUUUUUAAUUAAAAUAGAAACUUCAAAAGAGACUAUUAGUGUUUGGUUUGUAGAAUCUGAAAAAGUAUACAUAAUAUUUCUAAAAUUAAUAAUUUAUAGCUACAACUUAGAAUUCUUUGAAAAUAAAAACAAUUUUGUAGUUAAAAUUAAACUAUGAAAAUGGAAGUGUGAAACUCAUAAAAGAAUAUAUGAAAAUUUGCAAAGAUUAUGAGAUUAAAAUAUAUGAGCUUAUUCGAAAAAACACUAAUUACAACAAGGAGAGAAUGACCGAACCUGAGUGCUGAUAAUAUCCUAAUCAACUUGAACAAAUAUUCUUUUGUUGUAGCAACCUAGCUAACGUGUUAUGCAGCCUUGAGGAUAAGGACCAGCUUACACAAUGAUGAUAAAAUUCAUCUCAUUUAACAGAAAGUUUGGUUACUCAUUUAACGUUCACCCUGUUUUCUGACUUGUUUUGAGAAAGCAUGCAUACGACAUCAUUGUUGGAAACUUCUCAUAGCUUAGUUCCUAAUUCAAGGAAAGGCUACUGAAUGGUUGAAAUAAGUUGUAAAAGUAACAUGUUUUAAUCCCAUUCUUAAUGCAUUUUUGGAUGAUUAAUUAUGUAAAUUAGUGAAUUUGAUGUUCCUAAUCCUUUAAAUUCUUGUUUCUAUACUUAGGAGAGCAUUUGGGAGCAAAAGGAGCCAAAAUCAGAUAAAUAAAGCUGUUUCCAAGAUCCACACGGCCUAGGCAUUUCCUCAUGGGCUAGCCACAUGCCCAUGUCAGCCACACGGGCUGGCUACAAGCCCAUGUGCCAGCUAGUGUUGAUAUCACUCUUUGUUUCCCAAACACGCGGAAAAACCCAAUUUUUAAGCUUUUUGAGCAUUCUAAAGUCUAUAAAUAUCAAUUAGAAGAAGACCUAAGGGAGCACGCGAAGAAGAUCGAAGAAAAGACUCGAAGAACGCCAUGGAAUCAACUCGGAAGCGAAUCUCCUUCAAGAUUAAAUAUCUCCAUUAAUUUCCUUAGAAGUUUUAUUGAGUUUCUUUAUGUCUUAUUGUUAUCCUAAUUUUGAGAUGUUUUCAUUCCAGAUUAUGAACUAAAUUCCCUAGAUACCUAGGGUAGAUGAAACCUAUGAUGAAUCUUAUUAUUUGAAUUCUGAUUUACAGUGGAGCAAAAGCCCCUGUUUAAGAGUAGAUCUAGCAUAAUUGAAUGGAGUUGCAUGCAAUCCUAGAAAUAGGACGACAUAAAUCUACCAGAUUAGAGUCAAAUCUAAUAGGGAAAUCUAUAGAUCGAGUUAAUGCAACGAUAGGGGUUUUAAUUAGAAAGGGAUUUCAAUUAAUCAACCUAGAGUCAGUUGUUCUUACUCUCGAAAGAGAUAUUAACAUAAUUUAGAGAUUUCUACAGAUCAAGGC